UCCCUGAAGGACUAGUGGUUAGGCCACGGCUCUCUCACCACUGAGGGCCAGGUUCGAUUCCUGGCCAGGGGA